UGGGGAAUUUUGCGCAAUGGGCGAAAGCCUGACGCAGCGACGCCGCGUGUGCGAUGAAGGCCUUUGGGUCGUAAAGCACUGUCGACCGGGACGAAAACUUACGUGCUAACACCACGUGAGCUUGACGGUACCGGUAAAGGAAGCACCGGCUAACUCUGUGCCAGCAGCCGCGGUAAUACAGAGGGUGCGAACGUUGCUCGGAAUUAUUGGGCGUAAAGCGCGUGUAGGCGGCUUGUUAAGUCGGUUGUGAAAACCCAUGGCUCAACCAUGGAAGUGCGUCCGAAACUGGCAAGCUAGAGUCCCGACGAGGGUGGCGGAAUUCCCAGUGUAGAGGUGAAAUUCGUAGAUAUUGGGAGGAACACCGGUGGCGAAGGCGGCCGCCUGGGAGGGCACUGACGCUGAGACGCGAAAGCGUGGGGAGCGAAACAGGAUUAGAUACCCUGGUAGUCCACGCCGUAAACGAUGAGCACUAGGUGUUGCGGGUAUUGACCCUGCAGUGCCGACG
rnacentral:rRNA from 1 species